rnacentral:rRNA from 1 species
CCUACGGGAGACAGCAGUGAGGAAUAUUGGUCAAUGGCCGGAAGGCUGAACCAGCCAUGCCGCGUGAAGGGCAGGGGCCUAGGGGCGUUAAACUUCUUUUGUGCGGGAGCAAGAAUGGUCACGUGUGGCCAGACGAGAGUACCGUACGAAGAAGCAGCGGCUAACGCCGUGCCAGCAGCCGCGGUAAGACGGGGGAUGCAAGCGUUAGCCGGAUUUCUUGGGUUUAAAGGGUGCGUAGGCGGGGAGGUAAGUCAGCGGUGAAAAGCCCCCGCUCACCGGGGUGAAGUGCCAUUGAUACUGCCUUGCUGGACUGCGGCUGCCGUGGGUGGACUGUGUGGUGUAGC